UUAAUUUUCUCGGGCUACGUAUCUUCUAUCUAUUAAAUAACAAAUGAAAUAAACAACCAGUCUUCUCUUCUAAUGUGCGCUUUUAUAAUUUUGGACGUGGCGGUAAUAUCGUGGACGUCCGCGGUAAAACGACACAUAGGGAAGUACAAUUUAUGGA